rnacentral:rRNA from 1 species
UACGAAGGGGCUAGCGUUGCUCGGAAUCACUGGGCGUAAAGCGCACGUAGGCGGAUUGUUAAGUCAGGGGUGAAAUCCUGGAGCUCAACUCCAGAACUGCCUUUGAUACUGGCGAUCUUGAGUCCGGGAGAGGUGAGUGGAACUGCGAGUGUAGAGGUGAAAUUCGUAGAUAUUCGCAAGAACACCAGUGGCGAAGGCGGCUCACUGGCCCGGAACUGACGCUGAGGCGCGAAAGCGUGGGGAG